CGGCGUGCUUAACACAUGCAAGUCGAACGAUGAUGGGAGCUUGCUCCUGGAUUAGUGGCGAACGGGUGAGUAACACGUGAGUAACCUGCCCUUAACUCUGGGAUAAGCCUGGGAAACUGGGUCUAAUACCGGAUAUGACUCCUCAUCGCAUGGUGGGGGGUGGAAAGCUUUAUUGUGGUUUUGGAUGGACUCGCGGCCUAUCAGCUUGUUGGUGAGGUAAUGGCUUACCAAGGCGACGACGGGUAGCCGGCCUGAGAGGGUGACCGGCCACACUGGGACUGAGACACGGCCCAGACUCCUACGGGAGGCAGCAGUGGGGAAUAUUGCACAAUGGGCGCAAGCCUGAUGCAGCGACGCCGCGUGAGGGAUGACGGCCUUCGGGUUGUAAACCUCUUUCAGUAGGGAAGAAGCGAAAGUGACGGUACCUGCAGAAGAAGCGCCGGCUAACUACGUGCCAGCAGCCGCGGUAAUACGUAGGGCGCAAGCGUUAUCCGGAAUUAUUGGGCGUAAAGAGCUCGUAGGCGGUUUGUCGCGUCUGCCGUGAAAGUCCGGGGCUCAACUCCGGAUCUGCGGUGGGUACGGGCAGACUAGAGUGAUGUAGGGGAGACUGGAAUUCCUGGUGUAGCGGUGAAAUGCGCAGAUAUCAGGAGGAACACCGAUGGCGAAGGCAGGUCUCUGGGCAUUAACUGACGCUGAGGAGCGAA
rnacentral:rRNA from 1 species